rnacentral:rRNA from 1 species
GACGAACGCUGGCGGCGUGCUUGACACAUGCAAGUCGAACGGAAAGGCCCUGCUUUUGUGGGGUGCUCGAGUGGCGAACGGGUGAGUAACACGUGAGUAACCUGCCCUUGACUUUGGGAUAACUUCAGGAAACUGGGGCUAAUACCGGAUAGGAGCUCCUGCUGCAUGGUGGGGGUUGGAAAGUUUCGGCGGUUGGGGAUGGACUCGCGGCUUAUCAGCUUGUUGGUGGGGUAGUGGCUUACCAAGGCUUUGACGGGUAGCCGGCCUGAGAGGGUGACCGGCCACAUUGGGACUGAGAUACGGCCCAGACUCCUACGGGAGGCAGCAGUGGGGAAUAUUGCACAAUGGGCGGAAGCCUGAUGCAGCAACGCCGCGUGCGGGAUGACGGCCUUCGGGUUGUAAACCGCUUUCGCCUGUGACGAAGCGUGAGUGACGGUAAUGGGUAAAGAAGCACCGGCUAACUACGUGCCAGCAGCCGCGGUGAUACGUAGGGUGCGAGCGUUGUCCGGAUUUAUUGGGCGUAAAGGGCUCGUAGGUGGUUGAUCGCGUCGGAAGUGUAAUCUUGGGGCUUAACCCUGAGCGUGCUUUCGAUACGGGUUGACUUGAGGAAGGUAGGGGAGAAUGGAAUUCCUGGUGGAGCGGUGGAAUGCGCAGAUAUCAGGAGGAACACCAGUGGCGAAGGCGGUUCUCUGGGCCUUUCCUGACGCUGAGGAGCGAAAGCGUGGGGAGCGAACAGGCUUAGAUACCCUGGUAGUCCACGCUGUAAACGGUGGGUACUAGGUGUGGGGUCCAUUCCACGGGUUCCGUGCCGUAGCUAACGCUUUAAGUACCCCGCCUGGGGAGUACGGCCGCAAGGCUAAAACUCAAAGGAAUUGACGGGGCCCCGCACAAGCGGCGGAGCAUGCGGAUUAAUUCGAUGCAACGCGUAGAACCUUACCUGGGUUUGACAUGGAUCGGGAGUGCUCAGAGAUGGGUGUGCCUCUUUUGGGGUCGGUUCACAGGUGGUGCAUGCCUGUCGUCAGCUCGUGUCGUGAGAUGUUGGGUUAAGUCCCGCAACGAGCGCAACCCUUGUUCACUGUUGCCAGCACGUUAUGGUGGGGACUCAGUGGAGACCGCCGGGGUCAACUCGGAGGAAGGUGGGGAUGACGUCAAGUCAUCAUGCCCCUUAUGUCCAGGGCUUCACGCAUGCUACAAUGGCUGGUACAGAGAGUGGCGAGCCUGUGAGGGUGAGCGAAUCUCGGAAAGCCGGUCUCAGUUCGGAUUGGGGUCUGCAACUCGACCUCAUGAAGUCGGAGUCGCUAGUAAUCGCAGAUCAGCAACGCUGCGGUGAAUACGUUCCCGGGGCU